CUCAUAGCCCUCUUCCUUGGCCCCAAGAUCCUUCUAGGAGUUAGUGUCUCUGCCAUCUAUGUCCACAGGAAGCAGAAGUCCUGACUGUAAGUCCCCAGGAGGGAGGGUGGAGCAAAGGCUGCUGCCGAGGGGGCAGGGCCAGGGGGAGUGCCACCCUCCUGUGCACAGCUGCAGAGUCAGUGGGUCUAGAGAACCAGGCACACAUCCCUCAGCACCUUCAGGAUCUCAGGCAACUUCUGUGGGGUUCCCAGCUCCCAGGAUGUGUGUGAGGUGUGCAGGAGAUGAGGAGGUGAAGGGUUGGCAGUGGAUGUCCACUGAGUCCUAAGGGCUCCAGAGAGGAUGAGCUGAAAUGGUGCAAUGAGGGUCAGGAGAUUUGGUGUGGCCCUUGGAGACCACCCCUCGACUAGUCCAAUAGUCAACUGCUGGGCCUCCAUGGACAGGAAGGUUCUACCAUGUGGAGCAAUGUUGAGAAUUCAUCUAGAAAGAUGAAUUGCUCUCAGGGCCACUCUCUUGACUUUCAUUGUAGGAAAAGGGAAGGGGAGUUAGUAAACAGAAGAGGCUGAGCUAAGAGUCCUGUCUUGGGGCUGUUGGUUUACUCAAACAGGUGUCCCUGGACAGUCACAUGAGAAUAUGAUUGAUAUCAGGAUACUCUCAUCAAUGGUGAGCAGAUAACUGAAUGUGGACAUGUUUCCCACAGAUCCUUCAUCAUUCCUGCUGCCUGGGACUCUCAGUUUCUGCCACCUUCUUACUGCACUGUGAUGUUCAGCCUGAGGAAAGGAGCUUCAGAAAUGCCUUUAUAGAUGCUGUUCCAAAUGCCUCCUCCCAGGACACCCACGAGCCCACAGGCCCCUGACGCUCCUCUGCCCAGCCCUUUAUGCCCAAUGGCUGAGUCCGCACUCACAGUCUUGAGCAGGGCCCUGGGACCUGCCUCUGGGCUGCAACUCAUGACCCCUCCCCAGAAUGGGACUAGCAAGUCCCAUCAAAACACAUCAGGAUGACCCUCCUCUUUGCCUUGGGCUUGGCCAUCGAAACCCAAAGUCCUCACUCUCAAGAGUCAUUUUUUUUUUGCCUGCCAAGCCCUCCUCUCCAGCCUUGUUGAGCUCCUCAAAAGAAACUCAUUCUGGUUUCAUAAGAAAAAUAUUCUCAGUCCUCUUUACCUAAGUGUCUUAUGCCUUAUAAUCAGAAAAAAAAGGUUUUUCUCCACCUGAAUGAUUUUCUACCUUAGCAUUUAUGAGCAUCAGUAUUAUCCAGGAUAAAGGCAGUCAUUGCUCUCCAUGAAUAGCAGGAUUGUAAAAGUCACCUUCCAAACUGAAAAUCUGGGAAGCCAUCUCCAUACUGACCAUGAAAAAUAAUGAUCUUGAAAAGCCUCCCUCACAGGCCAGGGGUCAGAGGCUGCCCAACAACUUCACCCAGAGCUUCAUCUCCAAUCCCAUAUCCAGCCCCAGGCUCCUUGGUGGGCCCCUCCCUGCUUCCAGGACCUGGCCCUUGAGGGUAGCAGCCCACAGCCAAGAGAAGCAGGUCCAUGGCCCAGCUAACUCUUAUCUGAAGACUAGAAAUAGAGCAGUCUGAAAAAUGGAAAAGCAAAAGAGGAGGAAGAUGGUGGGUCAGAGGGAGGCAGCAUUCUAUGUUGCUCUGUAAUCCAGAUCUCACCUAGUCAGAAUACUGCAUCUCCGAGAGUGUUACAAGACCCCUAAGCUCUCCUCAGAAAUCACCAGCGCUGUGACCACUGCAUUCAAGCAGGACUCCUGGCUCCCCACACCCAAAGUCUGAAGUUCUAGCCAACACAGGGCUUGAGCGCCUUAGCAGAAUCACACAUCAACACAUCUGCUGAUCUCCAAGACUUUGCUCUACUCCCACACAGGUCACUCAGGUGCUACCUACCCACAGCACAAGCCAUUGCCCAGCUUGCCCCAACCCACCAGACAUCCCUGUACUGGAAACAGACUGCCUCCAUCUUGGCUCAAUAUUCUCACCAUAAUAGGUGGGGGAGGCUCCCAGUGGCCAGGUACCAGGUUUUCAACUUCCCCCCUCCUCAGUUGUGGUAACCAACAAAAUAGCUGCCCAACACAGGUGCACAGUGCAACCAGGGCGCCGCCCAUGGGAGCUCCAAUGUGAGAGGUUCCUUGAUUGGGAACUGCUAAGGGAGAGAGAGACAGGGCUAAAGUUUGGAGCCUAACAGAGAAAUCAGGAACUGGGAAAUCUCCAGGCAAGAGAGGGAGACAGUACCGGGUGCUGAAGUCAUCUGAGUAGUCCCACAAAGGGACCCAUGAGGUGCAGUCUCCCUGCAGGGACUGGUGGUUGCCACUCCCUGCUUCCAGUCACCCUGCACUAGGACCAGCCUUCACGCCCUGGUUACAUCCACCACCCUGAAGGCAGAGACACCAGCUUACAACAGACAACCUCACCUAUUGGAUGACAAGAGAAGCAGGAAAGAUCUCUAAAACUAGUGACAAUCCUGGUUUCUUCUUUCAAGUAUUUUUUUCCUCUUUUUCUUCUAACCUCUAUCCUCUCACCCUCAUAUCCUCAACAUAUUUGAAAACAAGAACUUUCCAUGAAAUAGGAUUUUGAGAACUUGGCCAUCUGAAUAAUAUAAUAUAGAAGUGUUGUAUAUGCCCCCUUUCCUCCUCCUCCUCCUCCUCCUCCUUCUUCUUCUUGAUUUUUAUUUCCCCUGCUGAAUUUUACUAUUUUAACAUCCUGUAUUUUUCUAAAUACAUAUGUGUGUUUGUUUUAUGUACUCUACUGUCAUCUCAUGUACUUUUCUACCCUGAAUUACUUCCUGUCUAUUCUAUUGCUACUAACCGUCUUCAUUAGAUUUCUCUUUCACACUUUCUAAGAUAUAUUAACUCUAUAUCCUCACAAACUACCUCCUCAGCAUAUCAUCCUAUGCCUAACCCCAAGUUCAUUGUCCUCCAUCAGAAACUGUAAACCCUUCUACAAAACUACUGUAUUUAUUAUAUAUAAUAAUUGAAUCUGACAUUUCUGUACAUUGAGACCAAACUGUAAACAUCUUAAUAACAACAAAUUGUUUAUAGGUGGUAUAUUGUUGAUA
rnacentral:lncRNA from 1 species